UACGUAGGGUGCGAGCGUUGUCCGGAAUUACUGGGCGUAAAGAGCUCGUAGGUGGUUUGUCGCGUUGUCCGUGAAAACUCACAACUCAAUUGUGGGCGUGCGGGCGAUACGGGCAGACUGGAGUACUGCAGGGGAGACUGGAAUCCUGGUGUAGCGGUGGAAUGCGCAGAUAUCAGGAGGAACACCGGUGGCGAAGGCGGGUCUCUGGGCAGUAACUGACGCUGAGGAGCGAAAGCGUGGGGAGCGAACAGG
rnacentral:rRNA from 1 species